rnacentral:rRNA from 1 species
GGCGCAAGCCUGAUCCAGCAAUGCCGCGUGCAGGAAGAAGGCCUUCGGGUUGUAAACUGCUUUUGUCAGGGAAGAAAUCUUCUGGGCUAAUACCCCGGGAGGAUGACGGUACCUGAAGAAUAAGCACCGGCUAACUACGUGCCAGCAGCCGCGGUAAUACGUAGGGUGCGAGCGUUAAUCGGAAUUACUGGGCGUAAAGCGUGCGCAGGCGGCUUUGCAAGACAGAUGUGAAAUCCCCGGGCUCAACCUGGGAACUGCAUUUGUGACUGCAAGGCUAGAGUACGGCAGAGGGGGAUGGAAUUCCGCGUGUAGCAGUGAAAUGCGUAGAUAUGCGGAGGAACACCAAUGGCGAAGGCAAUCCCCUGGGCCUGUACUGACGCUCAUGCACGAAAGCGUGGGGAGCAAACAGGAUUAGAUACCCUGGUAGUCCACGCCCUAAACGAUGUCAACUGGUUGUUGGACGGCUUGCUGUUCAGUAACGAAGCUAACGCGUGAAGUUGACCGCCUGGGGAGUACGGCCGCAAGGUUGAAACUCAAAGA